AUUGAACGCUGGCGGAAUGCUUUACACAUGCAAGUCGAACGGCAGCACGGGGGCAACCCUGGUGGCGAGUGGCGAACGGGUGAGUAAUAUAUCGGAACGUGCCCAGUCGUGGGGGAUAACGUAGCGAAAGUUACGCUAAUACCGCAUACGAUCUACGGAUGAAAGCGGGGGAUCGCAAGACCUCGCGCGAUUGGAGCGGCCGAUAUCAGAUUAGGUAGUUGGUGGGGUAAAGGCUCACCAAGCCAACGAUCUGUAGCUGGUCUGAGAGGACGACCAGCCACACUGGGACUGAGACACGGCCCAGACUCCUACGGGAGGCAGCAGUGGGGAAUUUUGGACAAUGGACGCAAGUCUGAUCCAGCCAUUCCGCGUGCAGGACGAAGGCCUUCGGGUUGUAAACUGCUUUUGUACGGAACGAAAAAGCUCUUACUAAUACUAGGAGUCCAUGACGGUACCGUAAGAAUAAGCACCGGCUAACUACGUGCCAGCAGCCGCGGUAAUACGUAGGGUGCGAGCGUUAAUCGGAAUUACUGGGCGUAAAGCGUGCGCAGGCGGUUAUAUAAGACAGAUGUGAAAUCCCCGGGCUCAACCUGGGAACUGCAUUUGUGACUGUAUAGCUAGAGUGCGGCAGAGGGGGAUGGAAUUCCGCGUGUAGCAGUGAAAUGCGUAGAUAUGCGGAGGAACACCGAUGGCGAAGGCAA
rnacentral:rRNA from 1 species